CAGGAAAAAUGCACAGCUCACUCAUAAAGAAAUACAGAUUUAAACUACACACAUAUGCCAUUUUUCAUAUCUGAGGUUCACAAAGAUGACAAAGUCUGACAAGACCCUGGGGAAGAUGUGGGCAAAUAGGCACUGCAAGCCAGAGCAGUAAAGAUGUAAGAUGGUACAACAUGGACCACAUAAAGUCAGUGCUCCAGCAUUCUCAUUCUAGAUAUGCUUCCUGCAGAUUCCUGUAUGUGUAAAAAGCCUGUGUGUAUAUGUUCACUGCAGCCAAAAAAUGAACUGAAUAGAUUGUGGCAAAUUCAUCUAGUAGAAGACUUUGUCCUCAUUUUUAAAAAAAAGAAAGAUAAUGGUGCUUUUUAUAAUCUGACAUAGAAAGACCUGCACAAUACAUUA